GUAUAACCAAGAAAAAAAAAAAAAAAAGGCUGUUUCGCAAGAGCAUCAUUUGAAUUCCCAGAGAUCAGUGCGAAUAGGCUUGCAUUUCCAGCUGCGUUCCCCACAGUGUACUGCCCACGGAUGCAGGAAGAUCACUGUGCCACAGGGACUAGCUUGAGCUGGCAGGAGGAACGUCACCAAGGAGCUUAGGGGAAACGCUUAGCGAGAGUUCCAGGCAAUGCUGCAAAAAGCCUUCUCCGUUGCUUCACACGCUUGUCCUUCGAUGUCACCGUGGGGCACACACAGCCGCACACGUACGUACGUGCAGGCUCCGAGCAGCUGGCAGUGGGCGGGACUUCCUGGUGACUGAGGGAAGGAAUCGCUCCUGAGAAAAGAGAAGUACACGCUUCUGGUGAAUUCUGCCUUCUGUGGCGAAAAUGUGAGGAACUUGGCAAGCUUCCCAAGAAGUCGAGGGCAACAGCUGUAUUGUGGGGAAGCUGAAUAACUCCUUUGCAGCCACCCUGUGUCAGAAACCAGCUGAAGUGGACGCUGAGUGCCAGCUCCACACCUGUGAGAAGCUGUGACCACAGAAGCAGCUGCUGAUACUCUGGGUGAAGAUGGAAGGCUUAUGUGAUUCGAAUCCAUAGUAGGAAUGCCAGACAAGGUUUUGACCCACAGCAGAGUGCACCUGCUGUUAAGUAAGGAGCAUUCUUGCUGUCUACACCAAGGAGGACUGUUGAGAAACGCAGGUCUUUUCAGAGAUGCACUGUGGAAUCCAAUCUGUGUAUUCUCAACCUUGUUACUGUAAAAAAGAAAAAAGAGUGGUCUGGAUAUUCCUGGACUGGCAGAUACUAGGAUGCUUCAGAGGUUGGGGCCCAAAAGGACUAGCAGAAUUCCCAAACUUUCUGAUCUCUACAGAAGAUGAUGUCUGCCAAAAUGCUCUCAGAAAGCCCUUAAACAAAGAAGAUAAGAAACCCAGGACCAAAGUCCCUAAGACUUAGUGUCUUGUUACUCCACAUGUCCCAACUUCUUGAUCUGAAGAUACAACGCACUAAGAAAAAUUGCCAUCCACUUCUCAGAGAAGGACUAUCAUUAUGCGUACCUUAGGUCUUCCUUGACCAAUGCACGGAAAGUGAGCGGUGUUCCUUGAAGAACUGGCAAAGGAAAAGAUGGCAGGGGAAGAAACAUGAGAUAAUUUUCCACAGCGCUGUAGCCGCCUCACAACAAAAGCCUUCAUCUUUAUUAUCAUUAUAACUGGAAUGUUCAACGGUUCCUUGUGUGCGCACACGAUCCAUACAUUACGGCAGCUGUCUUAAGCUUGAGCCCAGUGUCCGCUAUGGCAGCAGCGCCUCUGUGCCCCCGGUAACCCCACUUGCCGGAUGCCUCUUCCUCCACAUCUUCUGUCCCCUGCUGUGGUGUAUGGACCCGCUUCUCCUAUGUCAGCCUCAGAGCUGUCCUGACCCAGCUCCUUGUCUUGCUUUUAAUCAACUUCUCAUCCCUUACCUAAGGCUUCUGCUUACCCGACUGUUGGAGUCGGUUGAGGAAAAUAUAGCACUGUAUUGCACCCUAUGCAAUUUACAAAUAGAAAUUUGUUGUGGAUGUUUUGGGAGUACAGAAGUCCCAAGGCUCAAGCACCAGAAAUUUGUACCUUUUAUGUGUCCCCGCCUGUGGAGGGGCAAACACAACUUUUGUGCCUCUUUUAGGAUGUUAAUGAUAACCCUUAGCCUCUGUCUUCAGAAUCUAGCUAUUUCCAUUUUAAUCCUGUUGUACUAGGACAAUAUCUGAACCUGGAAUCAAAAGACCCUUCCACAGGGGUUGCCUAAGACCAUCAGAAAAUACAGAUAUUUACAUUGUAAUUAUAAUUCAUAGCAGUAGUAAGAUUACAGUUAUGAAGUAGCAACAAAAAUAAUUGGUUCCUCACUACAACGUGAGGAACUGUGUUAAAGGGUCACAGCAUUAGGAAGGCUGACGACCACUGUUCUAGGAAUUAGCGUUCAUCACAUGGCCUGUGGAGGAAAUACAGCAUUCACGCCAUGUCACCUGGUUAUGUAAUCUUCCCUAGUGUUGUUUAUGAUGCUGUCAUUAAAAAAAAUUACUAUGGCAAAAAAAAGCAGCUUCAAAGAGAAUGGGAUUACUUGGCUUAGAGUUCCCGGUUACGAUACACCACAGCAAGAAAGUCAGGACAGGCACCUGAAGCAACAGCUGUAUCACAUCUAAGAACAGAGUGAGGAUAAACACAUACGUACCUAGUACUUACUAAACUAGCUUGCUCUACUCUUUUAGAGGCUGAGAUUCAGACCCAAGGAAUGGCCCUUCCUGGGGUGGUUUCCCCACCUCAUAUAAGUCGAUGGCAGGGGGAGAUUCCUCACGGGCAUGCCCACAGGCCAAACUGAUUUAGACAGUUCUUCACUGAGGUCCUAGACGCAGGUGACUCUAGGCUGCAUCAAGCUGACAAUGAAAACAAUCCUAUCACAUAAUGGCUGGGGACUUCUAUAGUGAACUCCCCAUGGCUACCCUCAAGGAAGGGCUUCUCUCUACUUCACUGUCACCCAGGCUGGGGCCACAGACACCUGAAGAAGAAUGGCCAGACCAUUAGCCAUCACUUUGACCCAUUUUUUUUCUUCAAGGCAUGUAAGCCUUUCACAAUGGAUGCCAUUAUGGAAUUCAGUCAUAGUUCCAACUUGGUACCACCACCAGCUUCUUCUCCCUUCAGGGCAUAGCUGCCUCCAGCUGGUCUCAUCCCUAGAUUAUAUUCUUUCGCUGGAAUCCAGUCCCUGACACACAGGGACAGCUCCUUUCCCAUGAAGCUCCACGGCAUUUAUGACAAUCAGUUCAUCUAAGCAGAGGCCGUGGAAAGGUGUGUCCUAGCCUCACCCCUGGCAUGUGUUCACAUUCUCAAAGAGCAGCUGCCCCAGGCUGGAGAAAUGGCUCAGCAGCUAAUGGAACACACUGACCUCAUCAAGAAGCACAGUUUGGUUGUUCCAAGCUCUCCUAUAAGGAGAGUCACAGUUGGCUCUAAUUCUAGCUCCAGGGAACCCCAGAUCCUCUUCUGGCCACUACAGGCACCUGCACCCACAUGCACAUAUCCCAAGCACACGUGUGUGCACACGCACACAUAAUUAAAAUAAAACACACCUUCAUAAAAAGAAGAAAAAAAAUCUAUUGGUUUAAAAUUUAAAGCACCAGAAAGUUUUGUCUCUUCAGUGUUUAUCAGAGAGGAACUUUCUCUUUGAUCCUUUUAUAUCAGUGGAAUUAGGCUCUUUCAAUAAACUCCAAGACAUGAGGCUGGAGGGGGAGGUUUUAUAUAUGUAUGUGUACACACACACACACACACACACACCUGCACACACCUUGGGGUUUUACUGCUGUGAAGAGACACCAUGACUAUGGCAAUCCUUAUAAAAGAAAACAAUUAACUGGGGGUAGCUUCCAUUUCAGAUUUAGUCUGUUAUUGUUAUCAUGGGAAGCAUGGUGGUGUGCGGGCAGACAUGGUGUGGAGAAGCAGCUGAGAGUUCUGCAUCCACAUCAGCAAACAGCAGCAAGAGACAGUGAGCCACUAGGUAUGGCUUGAGCUUCCGAAACCUCAAGGCUCAAAGUGACAUACUUCCUACCAUAAAGACAGCUCUUCAUAAUAGGGCCAUUCGUAGGCCCCGGGGCCAUUUUCAUUUAAACCACCGUGUGUGUGUGUGUGUGUGUGUGUGUGUGUGUGUGUGUGUGUGUGUGUUGCAGUCAAAUGUUUGAGAUCUGAGCUCCUCACUGAUAAACUCUUGAAUUCGUACGAGUCCAAGAUAAGUUGGUACCAGUUCUCCAAAGCAUGGUUCAUAGGGAUAGAGGCUGCCAGCGAGUGUCUACAUUACGUUCGCUCUAUAAACAGCAUUAUCGUGUUUAAUAUGAUAACAGCCUCACAAGUCAGGUGUUAGCAGCCCCAUUUUUAGAAAGUUCUCUCAAAAUGUCAAGACAGUUGCCUAAAGUCAUUAACAAGUAAAGAAAGAACUGAACCCAUGAAGCCUGCCCUUGAUGUCGUGGCAUGAGGCAGCGCUUGGAUGCAGAGGCAGGACUGUGGGUGCCAGGGCAGCCUCAGCAGCAUAGCAGAAGGAGGGAGCCGGCCUGGAUUAUAGAGUGGGAUCGAAUCUUAAGAAAAAAAACAAGCAUCAGGGGUCGGGGGAGAGGGAAAAAAAAAGAAAAAACAAGCGUCAUCGAGGAUGGAGAGAAGACUCAGAAGUUAGAACACUGGUUGCUCUUCCAGGGGGCAUGGGUUCAAUUCCCAGCACCCAUGUGAUAGGUUACACCUGUGUGUAACUCCAGUUCCAGGAAAUCCCAGCCCCUCUCUUUGCUCCUGAUGAUACGAUGCAGAGAUAGGUAUACAUUUAGGCAAAGUACCUAUCCACAUAAAAUAAUGAAAAUAUUUAGAAAUUAAAGAAAAAAACUAAGUCAAACUGAAAGCCUUGUUCUGGCCACUGUUGAGUUGCCUUUCCACCUUGACUGAAGUGUGCAGGGUGAAGCUGCCUCCCUCUGUCUAGUCUCGCUGCCUUUAGCAUUCUUGCAAUGGUUUCUUGAGGUAGACUAGAGGUCUGUAACAUCCACUUUUACUUGUCCGUGGUGUGCCCAUUUCUGCUGACAUGGCUGGAAAUCUAGAACCCCAUUUUCCAGUCUUACAGCUGAGACCCUAACUGCAAAAUUAGGCUCGACUUGUUUGCACAAGAACAGGAAGUCAGUAGUGAGGUCAAAGCCAUUUUCCUGAUUCAGCUGUAACCAGUCCCAUACAGGACAUGGAUGGAGUCUUGGGACUUUCUAAAGCAGUGACUCAGGGUUCAGUUACUAAAGUCACGAGUAUCAAGAGAUAGUGGAGAUGACCGUGACAGGGACUCUCCGACGAGAGUAAAGCCAGUGCAAUGUGUCCACGCAGUUGAUGCCUCCUCGUGUCCCACCUCCACAGUGGCGAUGGAGGUGGGACCAGCCCUUCAGAGGCUUGUCCAGCCUGCCCACAUAAGCACCUGCUUCUCUCUCGUCAAUGCCUUUGUGCUUAAAAUAGUCGCUGUGGUUUCUGCUUCCUGCAAGAGAACACUGCUGAUACCAACCCUUUUCCUUCUUUUCCUCUUAACUGCUGAGUUCUGCAACUGCCAGCCCUGCAACGGAUCCUGCGAACACCAAGAUGAUGGCUCUGGGUAUCUCCACUGCUCCCCGUCUCCCUUGCCCUGCUUUACUGUCCUCUGUCACCUUUGCUGUCCCCCAAAGGUUGCUACUAAUUGCUUGAAUGGUUCCCACCCACUCACAGCUGGAAUAAAAGUUCUCUUAGACGUUCCAUUCACUUCCCUGUGGCUUUACCACCUAAGACCAGCACACACUGGGAACUUGAUAGUGCUGAAUGAAUGAAGUCUAUGUCUCUUCAUAAAACAUACCACGCCUAAACAAAUGGAUUAGCAAUAGACUCAUCAACAAUAAAUAAACAUAUAAUAACACUUUCUCGCGAAGCUUAAUUUCUUUUAACAUCUUCAAAAGGAGCAUAACACAUAUACAUAUAUGUUCUGAUUUUAACAUAAUAUUCAGGGCAACCUAUGGUUUACCUGAAACAGUUCCAACUUCAACAGUGAAGAGUCUCCAUCCUAUAGAACCUCUCCAUUCUGGGCAGGUUUAGACCAUUAGUUACCAAAUUACCAUCAUGAGCUGCUAAAGAAAACCACUUAGAAUUAAACCACUUAGAAUCAGUCCUGCAAAUAGAACCUUAAAAACAUGCUGGACCAUCCAGUGGCUUCCUUCCCUGUCAUAGCCUGGUUACCAUGUGAUCCCCUAAAGUCACUAGUUAGAAUCUGAGCGAUCGUUUUUUGUCUGUAUUUCACAU